ACUCAAAGGAAUUGACGGGGGCCCGCACAAGCGGUGGAGCAUGUGGUUUAAUUCGAUGCUACGCGAAAAACCUUACCUAGGCUUGACAUCCCACGCUACCCGGUGAAAGUCGGGGUCCUCUUCGGAGGCGUGGAGACAGGUGCUGCAUGGCUGUCGUCAGCUCGUGUUGUGAGAUGUUGGGUUAAGUCCCGCAACGAGCGCAACCCUCGCCACUAGUUACCAGCAUUAAGUUGGGCACUCUAGUGGGACCGCUGAGCUAUAAGCCAGAGGAAGGUGGGGAUGACGUCAAGUCCUCAUGGCCUUUAUGUCUAGGGCAACACACGUGCUACAAUGGGGAGCACAAUGCGCAGCAAGCGCGCGAGCGCAAGCUAAUCGCAAAAAACUUCCCUCAGUUCGGAUUGAAGUCUGCAACUCGACUUCAUGAAGCUGGAAUCGCUAGUAAUCGUCGAUCAGCACGCGACGGUGAAUACGUUCCCGGGCCUUGUACACACCGCCCGU
rnacentral:rRNA from 1 species